rnacentral:lncRNA from 1 species
CCAGACACAGCGUGGGAGGGGAAACCGAGACGGAUGAAGUAACUUGUCAAAGGUCACACAGCAGGUUAGUGGAAGAGCCAGACGUAUGGGGCUCAGAAGAGCAGUGCUAAUCCAAUGACCUAACCCCUGGGCAACACUAACUCUAAUACCAGUCCCCUCUGAGGCCUUCCUUCAGGGAUACAAAGCAUCCUGCAGAACCUAAUUUGAAAGCCUUGCCCCGCAGUCUGCACAGACUGCAGCUUUAAUUCACUGCUACUCUAUUUCCUGUUCUGUCGCUGUUCUGAGGUUUCACUAUUAACAUCAAAAUGGAAGGGAAAUUCCCUGCCCCCAGAGUGCUCCCCAUAAAUUUUUUCCGUUGAAACUCACAGACCCAAAUGCCACGCAACAGCAGAGAGGCAAGCGAAAGGAGGAGACCCAGCACGACCAGGCACUGGAGAAAUGGAAGAAGCGUUUUUCCAGCUUUACCAAGAAUUCACACAACUGCAGGAUUUAUGUGCAAAGCAGGCUGAGUUGCUACAGAAGUUGAUUGUGAAGAAGGAACCAAUGACGGACAUGCCAAUUUCGAUGCCAAUCCAGUGCACGGACGACGGGGGAUUAGCACAAUCAGAGAGACUCUUCUUCCAACAGCAGUUACCAAAGGUUCCCAGCUCUAUCCUUUCCAACCCAACAGUUCCUACAUGGCCCAACUCCGCAGUUCUUCGGGACCAGCCACAAGAUGCAGACACGGUUUCUCGUUUUGAUAUUAAGUACCCUCCGAGUGCAGCAAAUGCCAACUUGUUAAGCAGUGCCAAGGGGAAGGCAGAUUUCGCAAUAGCACUUUCCAGCCAGAACCACCACAAACCGCACGUGGGCAAGAAGGCGGCUUGUGACACGCUGUUGAAAAAUUAUACGAUGUUUCCUGCUUUGAAAGCGGACAAGGAACAAUCCACAGCCCCUCCCAUACCUCCAGAGCUUGCUACCUUAAAUCCGGAGGAUGUAGGCUCUUUUCCCAGUUUCUUGGAUCUUUAUGAAGCACCACAAGAUUUACAGACGGAAAGUACUUCCCUUCAAGCAGCAGAAAUUAAAGUUCCUAUAGAAAUACGAGGACCCACACAGGUACAGUAUAUGGUUACAUAACAGUAUCUAUUAUUUGUAUUACUAUAGCCCUGGACCAAACCCCAUUGUGCUAGGAGCUGUACAAACACGGAACAAAAAGACAGUCCCUGCUUAGGUACUUUUAUUGCUCCCUUUCCUGUAGUAUCUGACCACCUGACAGUUUUCCAACGUAGCUAUCUCCAUCACAGCCUGGCGAAAGGGGGAAUUAUUUAUUAGUCCCAUUUUACAGCUGGGGACAGAAAAGCUAAGUGACAUGCCGCAAAGUCUCUGGAGAGCAAAGACACAAACCCAGGUCUGUCAAGUCCUAGGCUAGCCCCCUAAUCAUGGGACUAUUCUUUUCUCCAAUAGAUUGUAGGAUUUGCCAUACAGCAGCGGUUCCUCAAACUUUUUGCCAGCACGACCCAAUUUUAAUGAAUUUU